AUACCUGAUAGUAUGGUGAGAUUGCAUGAUAGCACCAUUAAAGAUUUAUUGGUAAACGAUGGGGAUGCGUUCCAUUAGGUAGUAGGCGGGGUAACGGCCCACCUAGCCGACGAUGGAUAGGGGUUCUGAGAGGAAGGUCCCCCACAUUGGAACUGAGACACGGUCCAAACUCCUACGGGAGGCAGCAGUGAGGAAUAUUGGUCAAUGGGCGAGAGCCUGAACCAGCCAAGUAGCGUGAAGGAUGAAGGUCCUACGGAUUGUAAACUUCUUUUAUACGGGAAUAAAGUAUCCUACGUGUAGGAUUUUGUAUGUACCGUAUGAAUAAGCAUCGGCUAACUCCGUGCCAGCAGCCGCGGUAAUACGGAGGAUGCGAGCGUUAUCCGGAUUUAUUGGGUUUAAAGGGAGCGCAGACGGGAGAUUAAGUCAGUUGUGAAAGUUUGCGGCUCAACCGUAAAAUUGCAGUUGAUACUGGUUUCCUUGAGUGCAGUUGAGGCAGGCGGAAUUCGUGGUGUAGCGGUGAAAUGCUUAGAUAUCACGAAGAACCCCGAUUGCGAAGGCAGCUUGCUAAACUGUAACUGACGUUCAUGCUCGAAAGUGUGGGUAUCAAACAGGAUUAGAUACCCU
rnacentral:rRNA from 1 species